rnacentral:rRNA from 1 species
AGAGUUUGAUCCUGGCUCAGAUUGAACGCUGGCGGCAGGCCUAACACAUGCAAGUCGAACGGUAACAGAAAGCAGCUUGCUGCUUCGCUGACGAGUGGCGGACGGGUGAGUAAUGUCUGGGAAACUGCCUGAUGGAGGGGGAUAACUACUGGAAACGGUAGCUAAUACCGCAUAACGUCGCAAGACCAAAGAGGGGGACCUUCGGGCCUCUUGCCAUCAGAUGUGCCCAGAUGGGAUUAGCUAGUAGGUGGGGUAAUGGCCCACCUAGGCGACGAUCCCUAGCUGGUCUGAGAGGAUGACCAGCCACACUGGAACUGAGACACGGUCCAGACUCCUACGGGAGGCAGCAGUGGGGAAUAUUGCACAAUGGGCGCAAGCCUGAUGCAGCCAUGCCGCGUGUAUGAAGAAGGCCUUCGGGUUGUAAAGUACUUUCAGCGGGGAGGAAGGCGAUGCGGUUAAUAACCGCAUCGAUUGACGUUACCCGCAGAAGAAGCACCGGCUAACUCCGUGCCAGCAGCCGCGGUAAU